rnacentral:rRNA from 1 species
AGGACGAACGCUGGCGGCGCGCCUAACACAUGCAAGUCGAGCGAGAACCGGGGGCUUGCCCUCGGGGAAAGCGGCGAACGGGUGCGUAACACGUGAGCAACCUGCCCCAAAGACCGGGACAACCCGAGGAAACUCGGACUAAUACCGGAUGCCCUCACCGGGUCGCAUGGUCUGGUGAGGAAAUGGAUUCCGCUUUGGGAUGGGCUCGCGGUCUAUCAGCUUGUUGGUGGGGUAACGGCCUACCAAGGCGACGACGGAUAGCUGGUCUGAGAGGACGAUCAGCCACACUGGGACUGAGACACGGCCCAGACUCCUACGGGAGGCAGCAGUGGGGAAUCUUGCGCAAUGGGGGAAACCCUGACGCAGCGACGCCGCGUGCGGGAUGAAGGCCUUCGGGUUGUAAACCGCUUUCAGCAGGGACGAAAUUGACGGUACUGCAGAAGAAGCCCGGCCACUACGUGCCAGCAGCCGC